UGUUAUGAAGAAGGGCUUUCGGGUUGUAAAGUACCUUUCAGCGGGGGAGGAGGUGUUGUGGUUGAUAAUCAUCAGCGAUGAACGUUAGCCGCAGAAGAAGCACCGGCUAACUCCGUGCAGCAGCGCGGUAAUACGGAGGGUGCAAGCGUUAAUCGGGAAUUACUGGGCGUAAAGCGCACGCAGGCGGUCUGUCAAGUCGGAUGUGAAAUCCCCGGGCUCAACCUGGGAACUGCAUUCGAAACUGGCAGGCUAGAGUCUUGUAGAGGGGGGUAGAAUUCCAGGUGUAGCGGUGAAAUGCGUAGAGAUCUGGAGGAAUACCGGUGGCGAAGGCGGCCCCCUGGACAAAGACUGACGCUCAGGUGCGAAAGCGUGGGGAGCAAACAGGAUUAGAUACCCUGGUAGUCCACGCCGUAAACGAUGUCGACUUGGAGGUUGUGCCCUUGAGGCGUGGCUUCCGGAGCUAACGCGUUAAGUCGACCGCCUGGGGAGUACGGCCGCAAGGUUAAAACUCAAAUGAAUUGACGGGGGCCCGCACAAGCGGUGGAGCAUGUGGUUUAAUUCGAUGCAACGCGAAGAACCUUACCUACUCUUGACAUCCAGAGAACUUUCCAGAGAUGGAUUGGUGCCUUCGGGAACUCUGAGACAGGUGCUGCAUGGCUGUCGUCAGCUCGUGUUGUGAAAUGUUGGGUUAAGUCCCGCAACGAGCGCAACCCUUAUCCUUUGUUGCCAGCGGUUCGGCCGGGAACUCAAAGGAGACUGCCAGUGAUAAACUGGAGGAAGGUGGGGAUGACGUCAAGUCAUCAUGGCCCUUACGAGUAGGGCUACACACGUGCUACAAUGGCGCAUACAAAGAGAAGCGACCUCGCGAGAGCAAGCGGACCUCAUAAAGUGCGUCGUAGUCCGGAUUGGAGUCUGCAACUCGACUCCAUGAAGUCGGAAUCGCUAGUAAUCGUAGAUCAGAAUGCUACGGUGAAUACGUUCCCGGGCCUUGUACACACCGCCCGUCACACCAUGGGAGUGGGUUGCAAAAGAAGUAGGUAGCUUAACCUUCGGGAGGGCGCUUACCACCUUUGGAAUUAACCGGG
rnacentral:rRNA from 1 species